GAUCAUGGCUCAGGAUGAACGCUGGCGGCGUGCCUAAUACAUGCAAGUAGAACGCUGAAGCUUGGUGCUUGCACCGAGCGGAAGAGUUGCGAACGGGUGAGUAACGCGUAGGUAACCUGCCUCUUAGCGGGGGAUAACUAUUGGAAACGAUAGCUAAUACCGCAUAAAAGUCGGCAUUGCAUGAUGUUGACUUGAAAGGUGCAACUGCAUCACUAAGAGAUGG
rnacentral:rRNA from 1 species